AGAUGGGAACAGGCAAGAAAACCUGGAGCUGCAUGCUCUGAGGCUGCCCGACCCUGCGCUCCAGAACAGGAGACAAGUGUUCAGGAGACAAGCAUGUCAGCCAUGACACAAGGCAGAUGAGAGGGAUCCCCAGCGUCCACAUGUGGAGGCAGCGGGGGCAGCCGAUCCAUACAAACAGGCCGAACAUCAAUCAGGGCUGGUCCCAGGCCACCCGGCCGGGUGCAAUGCAGAAAUGGAGAUCUGCCCCGGGGCAGCCAGAUGAGUGUAGGAAGGAGGGAGGGCUGCAAGAAGCUGGGGGCAGCCGCCAUCCCCCUGUGGCCUGCGCGGGCCUGUGCCCCGCCCCAA
rnacentral:antisense_RNA from 1 species